CAGCCGCCGCGGUAAUACGAGGGGUGCAAGCGUUAUUCGGAUUGAUUGGGUGUAAAGGGUGUGCAGACGGCUUAUUAAGUCACUUGUUAAAUUCUUCGGCCUAACUGAAGGUCUGCAAGUGAUACUGAUGAGCUAGAGGGUGGAAGAGAGAAGUGGAAUUCUCGGAGUAGCGGUAAAAUGCGUAGAUCUCGAGAGGAACACCAAUGGCGAAGGCAGCUUCUUGGUCCAUUCCUGACGUUCAUACACGAAAGCGUGGGAACAAACAGGAUUAGAUACCCCCGUAGUCCCUGUCUCUUAUACA
rnacentral:rRNA from 1 species